rnacentral:rRNA from 1 species
UACGUAGGGGGCUAGCGUUGUCCGGAAUCAUUGGGCGUAAAGAGCGUGUAGGCGGCCCGAUAAGUCCGCUGUGAAAGUCCAGGGCUCAACCCUGGGAUGCCGGUGGAUACUGUCGGGCUCGAGUCCGGAAGAGGAGUGUGGAAUUCCUGGUGUAGCGGUGAAAUGCGCAGAUAUCAAGGAGGAACACCAAUGGCGAAGGCAGCACUCUGGGACGUG